UUAAGCGACUAAGCGUACACGGUGGAUGCCUAGGCAGUCAGAGGCGAUGAAGGGCGUGCUAAUCUGCGAAAAGCGUCGGUAAGCUGAUAUGAAGCGUUACAACCGACGAUACCCGAAUGGGGAAACCCAGUGCAAUUCGUUGCACUAUUGCAUGGUGAAUACAUAGCCAUGCAAGGCGAACCGGGGGAACUGAAACAUCUAAGUACCCCGAGGAAAAGAAAUCAACCGAGAUUCCCCCAGUAGCGGCGAGCGAACGGGGAAGAGCCCAGAGUCUGAAUCAGUUUGUGUGUUAGUGGAAGCGUCUGGAAAGUCGCACGGUACAGGGUGAUAGUCCCGUACACAAAAGCACACUUGCUGUGAACUCGAUGAGUAGGGCGGGACACGUGACAUCCUGUCUGAAUAUGGGGGGACCAUCCUCCAAGGCUAAAUACUCCUGACUGACCGAUAGUGAACCAGUACCGUGAGGGAAAGGCGAAAAGAACCCCGGCGAGGGGAGUGAAAUAGAACCUGAAACCGUGUACGUACAAGCAGUGGGAGCCUACUUUGUUGGGUGACUGCGUACCUUUUGUAUAAUGGGUCAGCGACUUAUAUUUUGUAGCAAGGUUAACCGAAUAGGGGAGCCGUAGGGAAACCGAGUCUUAACUGGGCGUCUAGUUGCAAGGUAUAGACCCGAAACCCGGUGAUCUAGCCAUGGGCAGGUUGAAGGUUGGGUAACACUAACUGGAGGACCGAACCGACUAAUGUUGAAAAAUUAGCGGAUGACUUGUGGCUGGGGGUGAAAGGCCAAUCAAACCGGGAGAUAGCUGGUUCUCCCCGAAAGCUAUUUAGGUAGCGCCUCGUGAACUCAUCUUCGGGGGUAGAGCACUGUUUCGGCUAGGGGGCCAUCCCGGCUUACCAAACCGAUGCAAACUCCGAAUACCGAAGAAUGUUAUCACGGGAGACACACGGCGGGUGCUAACGUCCGUCGUGAAGAGGGAAACAACCCAGACCGCCAGCUAAGGUCCCAAAGUCAUGGUUAAGUGGGAAACGAUGUGGGAAGGCACAGACAGCCAGGAUGUUGGCUUAGAAGCAGCCAUCAUUUAAAGAAAGCGUAAUAGCUCACUGGUCGAGUCGGCCUGCGCGGAAGAUGUAACGGGGCUAAACCAUGCACCGAAGCUGCGGCAGCGACACUUAGGUGUUGUUGGGUAGGGGAGCGUUCUGUAAGCCGUUGAAGGUGACUUGUGAGGGUUGCUGGAGGUAUCAGAAGUGCGAAUGCUGACAUAAGUAACGAUAAAGCGGGUGAAAAACCCGCUCGCCGGAAGACCAAGGGUUCCUGUCCAACGUUAAUCGGGGCAGGGUGAGUCGACCCCUAAGGCGAGGCUGAAAAGCGUAGUCGAUGGGAAACAGGUUAAUAUUCCUGUACUUGGUGUUACUGCGAAGGGGGGACGGAGAAGGCUAGGCUAGCCGGGCGACGGUUGUCCCGGUUUAAGCAUGUAGGCGGAGCGACUUGGUAAAUCCGGUUGCUUAUCAACGCUGAGGUGUGAUGACGAGUCACUACGGUGAUGAAGUAGUUGAUGCCAAGCUUCCAGGAAAAGCCUCUAAGCAUCAGGUAACAUUAAAUCGUACCCCAAACCGACACAGGUGGUCAGGUAGAGAAUACUCAGGCGCUUGAGAGAACUCGGGUGAAGGAACUAGGCAAAAUGGUGCCGUAACUUCGGGAGAAGGCACGCUGGCAUUAGGUAAUGGGACUUGCUCCCGGCGCCGAAGCCAGUCGCAGAUACCAGCUGGCUGCAACUGUUUAAUAAAAACACAGCACUGUGCAAACACGAAAGUGGACGUAUACGGUGUGACGCCUGCCCGGUGCUGGAAGGUUAAUUGAUGGGGUCAGCCGCAAGGCGAAGCUCUUGAUCGAAGCCCCAGUAAACGGCGGCCGUAACUAUAACGGUCCUAAGGUAGCGAAAUUCCUUGUCGGGUAAGUUCCGACCUGCACGAAUGGCGUAAUGAUGGCCAGGCUGUCUCCACCCGAGACUCAGUGAAAUUGAACUCGCUGUGAAGAUGCAGUGUACCCGCGGCAAGACGGAAAGACCCCGUGAACCUUUACUAUAGCUUGACACUGAACAUUGAGCCUUGAUGUGUAGGAUAGGUGGGAGGCAUUGAAGUGUGGACGCCAGUCUGCAUGGAGCCAACCUUGAAAUACCACCCUUUAAUGUUUGAUGUUCUAACUCGGCCCCAUAAUCUGGGGUGAGGACAGUGUCUGGUGGGUAGUUUGACUGGGGCGGUCUCCUCCCAAAGAGUAACGGAGGAGCACGAAGGUUAGCUAAUCACGGUCGGACAUCGUGAGGUUAGUGCAAAGGCAUAAGCUAGCUUGACUGCGAGAGUGACGGCUCGAGCAGGUACGAAAGUAGGUCUUAGUGAUCCGGUGGUUCUGAAUGGAAGGGCCAUCGCUCAACGGAUAAAAGGUACUCCGGGGAUAACAGGCUGAUACCGCCCAAGAGUUCAUAUCGACGGCGGUGUUUGGCACCUCGAUGUCGGCUCAUCACAUCCUGGGGCUGAAGUAGGUCCCAAGGGUAUGGCUGUUCGCCAUUUAAAGUGGUACGCGAGCUGGGUUUAGAACGUCGUGAGACAGUUCGGUCCCUAUCUGCCGUGGGCGUUGGAAGAUUGAGAGGGGCUGCUCCUAGUACGAGAGGACCGGAGUGGACGAAUCACUGGUGUUCGGGUUGUCAUGCCAAUGGCAUUGCCCGGUAGCUAAAUUCGGAAGAGAUAACCGCUGAAAGCAUCUAAGCGGGAAACUUGCCUCGAGAUGAGUCUUCCCUGGGGCUUUAAGCCCCCUGAAGGAACGUUAAAGACUAUGACGUUGAUAGGCUGGGUGUGUAAGUGCAGCGAUGCAUUGAGCUAACCAGUACUAAUGAUCCGUGAGGCUUAACCUU
rnacentral:rRNA from 1 species